rnacentral:rRNA from 1 species
GGUUAAUACCCUGUGUAGAUGACGGUACCCGAAUAAGAAGCACCGGCUAACUACGUGCCAGCAGCCGCGGUAAUACGUAGGGUGCGAGCGUUAAUCGGAAUUACUGGGCGUAAAGCGUGCGCAGGCGGUUUUGUAAGUCAGAUGUGAAAUCCCCGGGCUCAACCUGGGAACUGCAUUUGAGACUGCAAGACUGGAGUUUGGCAGAGGGGGGUGGAAUUCCACGUGUAGCAGUGAAAUGCGCAGAGAUGUGGGGGAACACCGAUGGCGAAGGCAGCCCCCUGGGCCAAUACUGACGCUCAUGCACGAAAGCGUGGGGAGCAAACAGGAUUAGAUACCCUGGUAGUCCACGCCCUAAACGAUGUCAACUAGGUGUUGGGAGGGUUAAACCUUUUAGUGCCGUAGCUAAC